rnacentral:rRNA from 1 species
UGAGGAAUAUUGGUCAAUGGGCGCAGGCCUGAACCAGCCAAGUCGCGUGAGGGAAGACGGUCCUACGGAUUGUAAACCUCUUUUGUCGGGGAGUAACGUGCGGGACGCGUCCCGUAUUGAGAGUACCCGAAGAAAAAGCAUCGGCUAACUCCGUGCCGGCAGCCGCGGUAAUACGGAGGAUGCGAGCGUUAUCCGGAUUCAUUGGGUUUAAAGGGUGCGUAGGUGGCCAUUUAAGUCAGCGGUGAAAGUUUGUGGCUCAACCAUAAAAUUGCCGUUGAAACUGGAGGGCUUGAGUAUGUUUGGGGCAGGCGGAAUGUGUGGUGUAGCGGUGAAAUGCAUAGAUAUCACGCAGAACUCCGAUCGCGAAGGCAGCUUGCCAAGCCAUAACUGA